AUUGAACGCUGGCGGCAGGCCUAACCCAUGCAAGUCGAGCGAGCGGCGGACGGGUGAGUAAUGUCUGGGAAACUGCCUGAUGGAGGGGGAUAACUACUGGAAACGGUAGCUAAUACCGCAUACCAUCAGAUGUGCCCAGAUUGGAUUAGCUAGUUGGUGGGGUAACGGCUCACCUAGGCGACGGUGCCUAGCUGGUCUGAGAGGAUGAACAGCAACAUUGGAUCUGAGACACGGUCAAGACUCCUACGGGAGGCAGUAGUGGGGAAUAGUGCACAAUGGGCGCACGCGUGAUACAGGCAUGCCGCGUGUGUGAAGAAGGCAUUCGGGUUGUAAAGCACUUUCCGCGGGGAGGCGUUACACGCAGUAGACGCACCGGCUAACUCCGUGCCAGCAGCCGCGGUAAUAC
rnacentral:rRNA from 1 species